rnacentral:rRNA from 1 species
CUUAACACAUGCAAGUCGAACGAAGCACUUUAACCGAUUUCUUCNGGAAUGAAGUUUUAGUGACUGAGUGGCGGACGGGUGAGUAACGCGUGGGUAACCUGCCUCACACAGGGGGAUAACAGUUGGAAACGGCUGCUAAUACCGCAUAAGCGCACAGUACCGCAUGGUACGGUGUGAAAAACUCCGGUGGUGUGAGAUGGACCCGCGUCUGAUUAGCUAGUUGGCAGGGCAGCGGCCUACCAAGGCGACGAUCAGUAGCCGACCUGAGAGGGUGACCGGCCACAUUGGGACUGAGACACGGCCCAAACUCCUACGGGAGGCAGCAGUGGGGAAUAUUGCACAAUGGGGGAAACCCUGAUGCAGCGACGCCGCGUGAGCGAAGAAGUAUUUCGGUAUGUAAAGCUCUAUCAGCAGGGAAGAAGAAAUGACGGUACCUGACUAAGAAGCACCGGCUAAAUACGUGCCAGCAGCCGCGGUAAUACGUAUGGUGCAAGCGUUAUCCGGAUUUACUGGGUGUAAAGGGAGCGCAGGCGGAAGGCUAAGUCUGAUGUGAAAGCCCGGGGCUCAACCCCGGUACUGCAUUGGAAACUGGUCAUCUAGAGUGUCGGAGGGGUAAGUGGAAUUCCUAGUGUAGCGGUGAAAUGCGUAGAUAUUAGGAGGAACACCAGUGGCGAAGGCGGCUUACUGGA